CCUACGGGUGGCUGCAGUCGAGAAUCAUUCACAAUGGGGGAAACCCUGAUGGUGCGACGCCGCGUGGGGGAAUGAAGGUCUUCGGAUUGUAAACCCCUGUCAUGUGGGAGCAAAUUAAAAAGAUAGUACCACAAGAGGAAGAGACGGCUAACUCUGUGCCAGCAGCCGCGGUAAUACAGAGGUGUCAAGCGUUGUUCGGAUUUACUGGGCGUAAAGGGUGCGUAGGCGGGCUUGUAAGUGGCGUGUGAAAUACGCGGGCUCAACCUGCGGACGGCAGUUGAUACUGGAAGUCUAGAGUGCAGGAGAGGAAAACGGAAUGCUUGGUGUAGCAGUGAAAUGCGUAGAGAUCAGGAAGAACACCCGUGGCGAAGGCGGGUUCCUGGACCUUAACUGACGCUGAGGCACGAAAGCGUGGGGAGCGAACAGGAUUAGAUACCCGGGUAGUC
rnacentral:rRNA from 1 species